GGGUACAUGGUCUAGUGGUAUGAUUUCCGAUCCGCAUUCGGAAGGUCCCCGGUUCGAUCCCGGGUGUAUCCA